GAUGAACGCUGACAGAAUGCUUAACACAUGCAAGUCUUUGGCGAAUCUGUGCUUGCACAGGCUAGCCAAGGCGGACGGGUGAGUAACGCGUAAAGAACUUGCCCUGCAGACAGGGAUAACAGACGGAAACGACUGAUAACACCUGAUACAGUUGCCGGCACGCAUGUGCCUGGCAAUGAAAAGAGAUGCUGCAGGAGAGCUUUGCGUCCUAUUAGCUUGUUGGUGAGGUGACGGCUCACCAAGGCGAUGAUAGGUAGCCGGCCUGAGAGGGUGAACGGCAACAAGGGGACUGAGAGACGGCCCAUACUCCUAAAGGAGGAAGCAGUGAGGAAUAUAGGACAAGGGGGGCAAACGUGAUCAAGGAAUUCUGUGUGAACGAAGAAGGUUUUCGGAUUGUAAAGUGCUUUAAGCAAGGAAGAAGAAAGUGAAGGUACCUGAAGAAGAAGAGACGGCUAAAUAAGUG
rnacentral:rRNA from 1 species